GACGAACGCUGGCGGCGUGCCUAAUACAUGCAAGUUGAGCGAUGAAGAUUGGUGCUUGCACCAAUUUGAAGAGCAGCGAACGGGUGAGUAACGCGUGGGGAAUCUGCCUUUGAGCGGGGGACAACAUUUGGAAACGAAUGCUAAUACCGCAUAAUAACUUUAAACAUAAGUUUUAAGUUUGAAAGAUGCAAUUGCAUCACUCAAAGAUGAUCCCGCGUUGUAUUAGCUAGUUGGUGAGGUAAAGGCUCACCAAGGCGAUGAUACAUAGCCGACCUGAGAGGGUGAUCGGCCACAUUGGGACUGAGACACGGCCCAAACUCCUACGGGAGGCAGCAGUAGGGAAUCUUCGGCAAUGGACGAAAGUCUGACCGAGCAACGCCGCGCGAGUGAAGAAGGUUUUCGGAUCGUAAAACUCUGUUGGUAGAGAAGAACGUUGGUGAGAGUGGAAAGCUCAUCAAGUGACGGUAACUACCCAGAAAGGGACGGCAAACUACGU
rnacentral:rRNA from 1 species